AGCGAACGCUGGCGGCAGGCUUAACACAUGCAAGUCGAGCGGGCAUCCUUGUGGCGUCCGCGGCUGACGGGUGCGUAACGCGUGGGAACGUGACCUUCGUAUCGUAAUAACUCAGGGAAACUAGAGCUAAUAAAGGAUACGUGCGAGAGCAGGAAGGUUUACCUGCCGUAGGUUGGGACGGAGUCGGAUUAGUUGGUUGGUGUGGAUACGGCUCACCAAGGCGUGGGCUAGUAGCUGGUCUGAGAGAUUGCGCAGCCACUCUGGGAGUGAGACCCGGCCCAGAAUCCUACGGGAUGCGGCAGAGGGGAAUAUAGGACAGUGGGGGCAACCAUGAUCCAGCCAUGCCGCGUGAGUGAUGUCGGCCUUAGAGUUGUAAAGCGCUUUUCUCCGGGACGAUAAUGACGGUACCGGAGGAAUAAGCCCCGGCUAACCUCGUG
rnacentral:rRNA from 1 species